rnacentral:rRNA from 1 species
GAACGACGCUGGCGGUAGGCCUAACACAUGCAAGUCGAACGCGAAAGUCCUUCGGGAUGAGUAGAGUGGCGGACGGGUGAGUAACGCGUAGGAAUCUAUCCUGUAGUGGGGGAUAACGUUUCGAAAGGAACGCUAAUACCGCAUACGCCCCAAGGGGGAAAGCGGGGGGAUCUUCGGACCUCGUGCUAUAGGAGGAGCCUGCGUCGGAUUAGCUAGUUGGUGAGGUAAAGGCUCACCAAGGCGACGAUCCGUAGCUGGUCUGAGAGGAUGAUCAGCCACACCGGAACUGAGACACGGUCCAGACUCCUACGGGAGGCAGCAGUGGGGAAUAUUGGACAAUGGGGGCAACCCUGAUCCAGCCAUGCCGCGUGUGUGAAGAAGGCCUUCGGGUUGUAAAGCACUUUAAGCGGGGAGGAAGGCCUGAUGGCUAAUAUCCAUCGGGAUUGACGUUACCCGCAGAAUAAGCACCGGCAAACUUCGUG